CCCUUAGAUGUUCUGGGCCGCACGCGCGCUACACUGAUGCAUUCAACAAGCCUAGCCUUGACCGAGAGGUCCGGGUAAUCUUUGAAACUGCAUCGUGAUGGGGCUAGAUUAUUGCAUUUAUUAAUCUUCAACGAGGAAUGCCUAGUAAGCGUGAUUCAUCAAAUCGCGUUGAUUACGUCCCUGCCCUUUGUACACACCGCCCGUCGCUCCUACCGAUUGAAUGUGUUGGUGAGGAGCUCGGAUUGGCAGCAGUUGGUGGUUCGCCACCGGCUAUUGCUGAGAAGUCCUCCAAACCGCCCCAUUUAGAGGAAGGAGAAGUCGUAACA
rnacentral:rRNA from 1 species